rnacentral:lncRNA from 1 species
GGGAAGAACUUUUCUUUUCUAUUUUUUACUGUAAAAUUAGAAAAAGGGCUUCUCUUUGAUGUUCUAGAACCAGCAAGCAAAGGCCAUGAAAACCCUUUCGAAAAAGCCCUUGGCAUGGAGGAUUAGGAGGAGCCUUAGUUGGAUGCCCCACCUCCUAAAUUAAUGGCGACACAUAGAAAAGGGGAGGGAUGCCAAAAAUUCAUGAGAGAGGG